rnacentral:lncRNA from 1 species
GGAAAUCUCAACCCAAAAAAGGGCGUUUAGUAAUUCUAAAAGGGACUACAGGAUGUAAAACAAUAGUUUUGGCAGUUAAAGUUUGAGAUUCGAUGGUGCCGUAGAUCCGUUUGGUCAUCAGGUGUAACGAGCCACACCCAUGUCUAGCUAGAGUAGUGUGCUAGGCUCAGACUAGAGAAGAAACGGGGAACAAAGUGAUGAAAGAAUGAUCAUACCGAGGGAAUUCACUCAUAACUAACAAGAAUGAUAACGUGCUCUGACUUGAGCGGUUUAGGAACUGCUGGAAGGCUAUAGGGGAAUAAAGAUGGAAUGACUUCAAAUUUUUAGGUCCGUAUGAUCUGAAAUACUUGCACACAAACCGCGAGAAAGCGUUCCUGGAAAUCUCAACCCAAAAAAGGACGUUUAGUAAUUCUAAAAGGGACUACAGGAUGAAAAACAAUAGUUCUGGCAGUUAUUGUUUGAGAUUCGAUAAUCUCGUAGAUCCGUUUGGUCAUCAGGUGUAACGAGCCACACCCAUGUCUAGCUAGAGUAGUGUGCUAGGCUCAGACUAGAGAAGAAACGGGGAACAAACUGAUGAAAGAAUGAUCAUACCGAGGGAAUUCACUUAGAACUAACAAGAAUGAUAACGUGCUCCGACUGGAGCGGUUUAGGAACUGCUGGAAGGCUCUAGGGGAAUAAAGAAGGAACGACUUCUAAUUUUUAGGUCCGUAUGAUUUGAAAUAUGUGCACACAAACCACGAGAAAGCGUUCCUAGAAAUCUCGGCCCAAAAGAGGACGUUUAGUAUUCUAAAAGGGACUACAGAAUGAAAAACAAUAGUUUUGGCAGUUAAAGUUUGAGAUUUGACGGUGCCGUAGAUCUGUUUGGUCAUCAGGGGUUACGAGCCACACCCAUGUCUAGCUAGAAUAGUGUGUUAGGCUCAGGCUAGAAAAGAAACGGGGAACAAAGUGAUGAAAGAAUGAUCAUACCGAGGGAAUUCACUCAGAACUAACAAGAAUGAUAACAUGCUCCGACUGGAGCGGUUUAGGAACUGCUGGAAGGCUCUAGGGGAAUAAAGAUGGAAUGACUUCUAAUUUUUAGGUCCGUAUGAUUUGAAAUACUUGCACACAAACCGCGCGAAAGCGUUCCUGGAAAUCUCAGCCCAAAAAAGGACGUUUAGUAAUUCUAAAAGGGACUACAGGAUGAAAAACAAUAGUUUUGGCAGUUAAAGUAUGAGAUUCAACGGUGCCGUAGAUCCGUUUGGUCAUUAGGUGUUACGAGCCACACCCAUGUCUAGCUAGAAUAGUGUGCUAGGCUCAGGCUAGAGAAGAAACGGGGAACAAACUGAUGAAAGAAUGAUCAAACCGAGGGAAUUCACUCAGAACUAACAAUAAUGAUAACGUGCUCCGACUGGAGCGGUUUAGGAACUGCUGGAAGUCUCUAGGGGAAUAAAGAUGGAAUGACUUCUAAUUUUUACGUUCGUAUGAUUUGAAAAACUUGCCCAUAAACCGCGCGAAAGUGUUCCUGGAAAUCUCAGCCCAAAAAAGGACGUUUAGUAAUUUUAAAAGGGACUACACGAUGAAAAACAAUAGUUUUGGCAGGUAAAGUUUGAGAUUCGACAGUGCCGUAGAUCCGUUUGGUCAUCAGGUGUUACGAGCCACACCCAUGUCUAGCUAGAAUAGUAUGUUACGCUCAGGUUAGAGAAGAAACGGGGAACAAACUGAUGAAAGAUGAUCAUACCAAGGGAAUUCACUCAGAACUAACAAGAAUGAUAACGUGCUCCGACUGGAGCGGUUUAGGAACUGCUGGAAGGCUCUAGGGGAAUAAAGAUGGAAUGACUUCUAAUUUUUACGUCUGUAUGAUUUGAAAUACUUGCACACAAACAACGCAAAAGCAUUCCUGGAAAUCUCAUCCUAAAAAAGGACGUUUAGUAAUUCUAAAAGGGACUACAGGAUGAAAAAUAAUAGUUUGGGAAGUUAAAAUUUGAGAUUCGAUAGUGCCGUAGAUCCGUUUGGUCAUCAGGUGUUAGGAGCCACACCCAUGUCUAGCUAGAAUAGUGUGUUAGGCUCAGGCUAGAGAAGAAACAGGGAACAAACUGAUGAAA